rnacentral:rRNA from 1 species
UACAUUGGGUGCAAACGUUGCUCGGAAUUAUUGGGCGUAAAGCGCACGUAGGCGGUUCGUUAAGUCGGAUGUGAAAGCCCUCGGCUCAACUGAGGAAGUGCACCCGAAACUGGCGAGCUUGAGUACGAAAGAGGAUCGCGGAAUUCCCGGUGUAGAGGUGAAAUUCGUAGAUAUCGGGAGGAACACCGGUGGCGAAGGCGGCGAUCUGGGUCGAUACUGACGCUGAGGUGCGAAAGCGUGGGGAGCAAACAGG